CAGCAGCCGCGGGAAUACAGAGGGUGCGAGCGUUAAUCGGAUUUACUGGGCGUAAAGCGCGCGUAGGUGGUUUGUUAAGUUGGAUGUGAAAUCCCCGGGCUCAACCUGGGAACUGCAUCCAAAACUGGCAAGCUAGAGUAUGGUAGAGGGUGGUGGAAUUUCCUGUGUAGCGGUGAAAUGCGUAGAUAUAGGAAGGAACACCAGUGGCGAAGGCGACCACCUGGACUGAUACUGACACUGAGGUGCGAAAGCGUGGGGAGCAAACAGGAUUAGAUACCCCAGUAGUCCCUGUCUCUUAUAC
rnacentral:rRNA from 1 species